rnacentral:lncRNA from 1 species
UUGCAGCUGUAGAACUAUGGGUCAUCCCACUAAUCUCCCUGUCUUAUAUUUCUUACAGGAAAAAAAAAGGCCCACCGGAAUGCUGGAGUUGCUGCUUGCAGAACUUAUAAAAAGAAAUGGAUCUAAGUGGUACAAGGGAUGGACCAUAACAGAUGCUGUGAUAUGCCAUCUGGCUCAUGCUUCAAGACCAAAGGACUUAUUCCCCCAAGUUCCUGGGAGUUCUGCUGGUCAUUGACCUUCAGCAAUCAGCACUUUUUUUGGAAGAUGAGAUUUGACACAGAAAGGUAUGGAGGCAAGACCAUGAGAAGAUAUAGCAAGAAGGUACAAACCAAGGAGAGAGGCCUCAGGAGAAACCAAUGCUGCAACCACCCUGACCUCAGACUUCUAGUCUCCAGAAUAGUAAGAAAAUAAACUUCUGUUGUUUAAGCCACUUAAAUGUGAUACAUUGUCAUGACAGCCCUAG